rnacentral:rRNA from 1 species
GGGGGGGGGGGGGGGGGGGGGGGGGGGGGGGGGGGCGGGCGGGGGGGCCCGGCGGGCGGGGGGGGGGAGUGGCGAACGGGUGAGUAACACGUGGGUGACCUGCCCGUAACGCUGGGAUAAGCCUGGGAAACUGGGUCGAAUACCGGAUAGGAGCGUCCCCCGCAUGGUGGGUGUUGGAAAGGUUUAGCGGUUGUGGAUGGACUCGCGGCCUAUCAGCUUGUUGGUGAGGUAAUGGCUCACCAAGGCGACGACGGGUAGCCGGCCUGAGAGGGUGACCGGCCACACGGGGACUGAGACACGGCCCAGACUCCUACGGGAGGCAGCAGUGGGAAUAUUGCACAAUGGGCGCAAGCCUGAUGCAGCGACGCCGCGUGAGGGAUGACGGCCUUCGGGUUGUAAACCUCUUUCAGUAGGGAAGAAGCGAAAGUGACGGUACCUGCAGAAGAAGCACCGGCUAACUACGUG